CCAGAAUGGGAACGAGUAGCCUUGAUCCCAGGUUUUCCAACUGUUCAGGUGGCAGACACCUGGUUAUCGUGGCUCUUCCCAGGCGUCUGUGUGACCCAGGUGUCAUACAGUGCCCUGGAGGCAGUGCCUGGUCAAAAAGAAGCUGGCGCUGAGACGUCAUCUUUUUACUCUGCUCUGCUGCGUAUUCAGCCCAAAAUUGUGCACUGCUGGAGGCCAAUGCGGCGCACGUUCAAAAGCUAUGAUGAGGCUGGAACGGGGCUGCUAAGCAUCGCAGAUUUCAGGACGGUCCUGAGACAGUACAGCAUCAACCUCUCUGAGGAAGAGUUCUUCCAUAUUCUGGAGUAUUACGAUAAGACACUGUCUUCAAAAAUCUCCUACAACGACUUCCUCCGGGCGUUCCUCCAGUAGACACCCCUGCCGUGCGCCCAGCGGGACGACAGCCACAGGGCCUGUUUCAAGACUAAUAAAAUCCUAUAAUUUGGG
rnacentral:sRNA from 1 species